rnacentral:tmRNA from 1 species
UACGGAUUCGACAGGGGUAGUUUGAGCUUAAGUUGCGAGUCGAGGGGAUCGGCCUCGUUAAAACGUCAAAGCCAAUAACUGGCAAAGAAAACAACAAUUUCGCUUUAGCUGCUUAAUAACAGCUUAGCGGUUCCUCCCUCCAUCGCCCAUGUGGUAGGGUCAGGGACUCACUCUUAGUGGGCUACGCCGGAGUUCGCCGUCUGAGGACAAAGGAAGAGAACAACCAGACUAGCUGCUUGGAAGCCUGUCGAUAGGCUGAAGAGUUAGCGAAACGCUAAUAUAUCGACUACACUCGUAGAUGCUUAAGUGCCAAUAUCUUUGGACGUGGGUUCGAUUA